rnacentral:lncRNA from 1 species
AUGUCAUGUAGGAAAGAGAGGAUAAACAAACAAACAAAAAAAAACAAAAAAAAAGGAAAAAAAAAAAGCUCAUACCCAAAUUCACAAAACCUAUUUUUUAAACCAAAGCACAUUUUGAAUGAGUAUGGAACCUCAAUGGGCUCAGAAAAAAAGAUACUAAUAUAUUUAUCUCAUUGUUUACAUAAACUUUUACAGUUUCAGACCUCAGCAGCUGUAAGGCCAGUCCCAGUGAAUCCCCCGCCUUCCGCUGGAGGCCCUUCUGAGUCGGCUCACAGGCAGAGGGGCAGCCGUGGGGCCGGGGCAGGCAUGGAGUUUCCCCAGAUUCACCUGAGCCCUCCUCCCCAGCCCCGGGCCUCUCAAAGCCCAGCUGGCACCAAAGAGCUUGGGCCUGUGCUGACCGGCCCCCAGGCCUCCUUGCAGGACCGUGGAGGUCCUGGCCAGCUGGCACAGCAGGGGAUGGCCGUCAGCUCUGGCCACAGGACCCAAGUCUGGGCUAGGGCCCUGGGAUGGAGGGCCCCCAUCUCCCCCACUCUGCCCGCGACCCUCAGGGUGGGUUGAUGUGAGGGUCCCUCUCAAGCCAAAAAGCCCUGGGACCUUUGCACAGCUCCGUUGACUCCAGUGGGUCCCCACCCCCAGGGGACACCCCCAUCCCCGGCAGUGGGGGGUCGGGGCUUACUGGGCUGGUCCUUACUAACACAGACGGUGCAAACACUCUGAACAGUGUUGUUUUUGUAUCAAUAUGUUUGUGCAGUGAUGAAUGUAUUUAUUUCUCAGACUUGGGGCGAGUGAGCGGCCGGCUCCGCCACCCCGCCAGACCGAGCCACCGCAAGGGCUCCUCCAGGAUUGCAAAAAAGGUAAAAAAGAAAAGACGAACCUUUAAGCAAAUAAGAAUCUCAGAGACUCGCAGCAUAGCCAUACACCUCAGCCUGUGAAAUGAACAAUCUGGACCCGGACGGACUUUUGGAACCUCACGCAGCCGUGUGUGUGUAUUUCCCGUUCGUCACCACUCGGGGGCGCUGGGCUGUCCCGCUGUGCCCCCGCCCCAACCCCGUCAGUAUUCACUGGACUGGGCCGCGUGCAGGAGUGCGAUCUGGGCUGGGCUGGCUGGGCAGGCAGACCCUACCGCCCUCCCCACAGCCGUCCUGGGUGGGGGAGGCCUGGGCAGCCAGGAGAGCAGGGCUCAGGGAAGAGGUGGCUGCGUCCGUCCGCCCCCUAGGCUUGGGGGACGAAAGCAGAGGCACCAGGCCUCCAAAGAACAGACAAGGGAUCUCAGCCCUGCCGUGCCCCUCAAAGGGACCAGGGCCCUUGCUCUUCCCCAGAGUCACAUUGGGGCAUAUGUUGCUGAACCUGUGAAUCCGAUGUCUGGAGUAAUGGGAUGGAGAGGGACCUAACCAGAGCCUCGGUGUGACAUUCCAGAUCAGGGGGUGGAGUGUGCUGUGGGAAUUGAGGCUGCCCAGGUCCCCCUUCCUAGGACCCCCCCCCCAACUUCAGUCACCACUUUAAUUUUUCUACCGGGAACCCCUCCCCUACCUCACCUUGCUAUUUAUUGCUGUAAUUU